ACCGAACGCUGGCGGCAUGCCUAACACAUGCAAGUCGAACGAUGCCUUCGGGCAUAGUGGCGCACGGGUGCGUAACGCGUGGGAAUCUGCCUUUCGGUUCGGAAUAACUCAGGGAAACUUGAGCUAAUACCGGAUAACGUCGCAAGACCAAAGAUUUAUCACCGAAAGAUGAGCCCGCGUAGGAUUAGCUAGUUGGUGAGGUAAAGGCUCACCAAGGCGACGAUCCUUAGCUGGUCUGAGAGGAUGAUCAGCCACACUGGGACUGAGACACGGCCCAGACUCCUACGGGAGGCAGCAGUGGGGAAUAUUGGACAAUGGGCGAAAGCCUGAUCCAGCAAUGCCGCGUGAGUGAUGAAGGCCUUAGGGUUGUAAAGCUCUUUUACCCGGGAAGAUAAUGACGGUACCGGGAGAAUAAGCCCCGGCUAACUCCGUG
rnacentral:rRNA from 1 species